UAUCAGACUUGUUGCAAGCUUGUUCCAACAAGUCUGAUACAGUCAUGACAACAAUAUUGAUACAACCUUGUGUCGUCAACCUUGUAACAUUCUUGUUAUAUCAUGACUGUAUCAGACUCGUUAUAACGACCUUGUAACAAGUCUGAUA
rnacentral:miRNA from 1 species